CAAUAGCGUAUAUUUAAGUUGUUGCAGUUAAAAAGCUCGUAGUUGGAUUUCGGUUAAGAGCGACCGGUCCGCCGUUUGGUGUGCACUGGUUGGUUUUAACUUCCUGUAGAGGACGUGCUCUGGGUUUAACGACCUGGACUCGGAGUCUACGUGGUUACUUUGAAAAAAUUAGAGUGUUCAAAGCGGGCUUACGCUUGAAUAUUUCAGCAUGGAAUAACACUAUAGGACUCCUGUCCUAUUUCGUUGGUCUCGGGACGGGAGUAAUGAUUAAGAGGAACAGUUGGGGGCAUUCGUAUUUCAUUGUCAGAGGUGAAAUUCUUGGAUUUACGAAAGACGAACUUCUGCGAAAGCAUUUGCCAAGGAUGUUUUCAUUAA
rnacentral:rRNA from 1 species